rnacentral:misc_RNA from 1 species
CUUCUUCUUCCUUUUUUUUUUUUUAUGUCAUCAUGUUGAUUUGUCGUCACUGACCUAAUAAAGCAUGGCAUCACAUAUUUUGUUGGCUAGAAUUGUAGAGGUUAAAUUAAUCUGCGAUUUAAAAGUUCAUGAAGUAAAAAAUAUGAAAGCAAAAGUUGAUGGGGUAGAAUCACAUUUUCUGUAAAGGUCAAGGGGUAAAUUAUGCUUUCAGCCAAUUAAAUCUUAAUAAUUUAUCUAAUAAUAAUUGUUGAUGGAAGGAAAAAUGUUUUCCUUAUUCCCAUUUCAGUUUGUGAGGAGCUGCAAAGAAUUAUGAAUUCUUUUUGAUGAGGUUCUAAGACGGAUGGAAGGAAAAAUGUUCAUUGAUUGUCAUGGGACAGAUUGUGCUGUAAGAAGGAUGCUGGAGGCAUGGGUUUUUGCCAUCUUCAUCUCUUCAAUGUUGCAAUGCUUGGAAAGCAAGGUCGGAGACUCCUCUCUAACCGCCAGUCUCUUAUAUGUCGUAUUAUCAAAUCUAAAUAUUUUUCCAGACGAAGGUUUUUGGAGGUCCAAGAGAGUCAUAAUCCAAGCUAUAUAUGGAGGAGCAUAUUGUCUUCCAAAGAAUUGUUAUUACAUGGUAUAGAUGGAGGAUUGGUGAUGGCUCUGAUGUUCGUGUGUGGUAUGAUCCUUGGUUGCCUGUCAAUGAUAAUUUUUAUAUUCCCUCACCGAUGGUCCUAGGAACGGAGCAUUUUAGAGUCUGUGACCUUUUUGAGGAAGGUACGAGGAGUUGGAAUUUAUUUUUAUUGAGUAAUAUGUUCCCUUCUAGUGGAACUAUUUUGCAUAAUCGACAAGCUUAGAAAGCUGACUUUUGUUUGCACUAUAACAAUAUAUUACUUUUUUUUUCUUAAUUUUUGAAUAUAAUGGUGCUUUCAAUAGGAUUGAAGUUCAAAA